UACAACUUUCAGCAACGGAUCUCUUGGCUCUCGCAUCGAUGAAGAACGCAGCGAAAUGCGAUAAGUAAUGUGAAUUGCAGAAUUCAGUGAAUCAUCGAAUCUUUGAACGCAUCYUGCGCUCCUUGGUAUUCUGAGGAGCAUGCCUGUUUGAGUGUCAUU
rnacentral:rRNA from 1 species